AUUAAUAUACAGAACAUCAGAUGGAUCUGCUGUCGUUACUCAGGCCAAUAUAAGAUUCGAUACUGUAUACUAUUAUUCUCCAAAUGGCCAGAAACUACGAUCAUUACAAGAAAUUCAGGAACAAUUGGAUAUUUCAUCCGAUAAAACUUCUCUGACUAUAGAAUGUUUUACAUUUUUAGCACAACCAAUUUUCUUGUAUGAUGAACAUAAAGAACGAAUCAGAGAUGCAAAUUUCAAAUUAUUUAAGGAAGAGACUAUGGAUGAUAUGCUGUUCUACUACAAAAAUCUACAACACCUAAACAGCUACCACCAUUUUAUUAUGAAUUGACAGGCGAUGGAAACAAAAAGUCUGCUAGUAAAAUGCGACAUUUUUUAAAUAUGCAGACUUCCUUAAGAUCAAAAUCCAAAUAAAGUGAGUCACAGAAAUGUAUAAUACAUGGAUCAGAAAAUAUAAGUUCCUGCUCUAGAAAAAUGUUUAGAUACAACGAUGCCGGAUGCUAAAACUAGGGUAAUUAAGGUUCCCUGAAUAGUUUAAUGAUCUUUGAAUUAAAUGUUUAGUAUUCAUUUGUUUCUUUACACUAAAACCCUUUCAUAUUAUGAUUCUAUAUUUGUGAACAUAACAAAUUUUUUAUUUUUUAAUGUAAUUCAAGGUUGAAGAUAUUAAUAACAAUUUAAAUUAUUAGUUAUAACUUAUA